rnacentral:rRNA from 1 species
AUUGAACGCUGGCGGCAUGCCUUACACAUGCAAGUCGAACGGUAACAGGUUAAGCUGACGAGUGGCGAACGGGUGAGUAAUAUAUCGGAACGUGCCCAGUCGUGGGGGAUAACGUAGCGAAAGCUACGCUAAUACCGCAUACGAUCUACGGAUGAAAGCGGGGGAUCGCAAGACCUCGCGCGAUUGGAGCGGCCGAUAUCAGAUUAGGUUGUUGGUGAGGUAAAAGCUCACCAAGCCUGCGAUCUGUAGCUGGUCUGAGAGGACGACCUGCCACACUGGAACUGAGACACGGUCCAGACUCCUACGGGAGACAGCAGUGGGGAAUUUUGGACAAUGGACGCAAGUCUGAUCCAGCAAUGCCGCGUGCAGGACGAAGGCCUUCGGGUUGUAAACUGCUUUUGUACGGAACGAAACGGUGAGCUCUAAUACAGUUUGCUAAUGACGGUACCGUAAGAAUAAGCACCGGCUAACUACGUGCCAGCAGCCGCCGUAA